GUUUAUUAAUCCUUGGAAAGAAUUACAUAGCGGUUAUUCACAGCUUGUAAAUUACAAUAGAAAGGUUCCUUUCAAAUGGUAGAGUUGCACUAAAGAGGAAAUUGGGUUUAUAAGAAAAUGGAGGCAAAGAACUUAAGUUUUAAGAAAAAGCACUUCAAAACAGAAGGGCAAAUGGAAAAGGGGGAUAUAAAACAAACCAAUAAAAAUACCAUCUGAGGGUGUUACUGUCCAAAAUUAAAGAAUAAGAUGCAUCACUAAGCCCUUUGCACUCGUGUUGACCUCGUAAGUAAAAAUUAUUACUUAGAAUAAUAAUAAGUGGUGCACACUACAUUCCCUGUCCCUCUUCUAGACUUUUUUUUUGUAGAAGAAUCAGAAAACAAUUUACUAACCUCCCUGUUUGAUAUUAAAAACUCAAUAGGAAGGUUUUUAAUAUUUUCUGUCAGUACAAGUUGAACUUGAUUGUGUCAACUGAAACCCUAGAGGUUUGUGUAUCAGUAGAAUGCAAGAACAUUGUUAAAGUUGCUUACAAUCUUUUUUGUUUUCCUUUCCAUUCCAUUGUAUCAAUUUUUUGAGUAACUUUCAAAUGGCUAGAAAAUGGUCUUUUUGCUUUGCCCUUUUAUAGCUGAAAUAACCAGCUCCAUUCUUUUCAUGAGUAGUAAGUUGAUAUAUUUAUUUAUCAGGUAUCUUUCAGUUGUCACUAAAUACUGUAGUUUUCUUGUGUUGUAUGGAAAUUAUAGUUCAAUUAUUCU
rnacentral:lncRNA from 1 species